rnacentral:rRNA from 1 species
UACGGAGGGUGCGAGCGUUGUUCGGAUUUAUUGGGCGUAAAGGGCGUGCAGGCGGUUUCGCAAGUCCGAUGUGAAAGCCCCGGGCUCUACCCGGGAAGUGCAUCGGAAACUGCGAGACUUGAGUACGGGAGAGGGCAGCGGAAUUCCUGGUGUAGGGGUGAAAUCCGUAGAUAUCAGGAAGAACACCGGCGGCGAAGGCGGCUGCCUGGACCGAUACUGACGCUGAGACGCGAAAGCGUGGGGAGCAAACAGG